UAGCCGAGUGGUUAGGGUGUUUGACUCCCGGCCGAAAGGUUCUGGGUUCGAAACCCCGACGUCU